GAUGGGGGGGGGACUGUGCGCCCCAGCAGGCCCACUAAAUCCUGGGUGUCUAUCCCUAAAAAUCGAGGUCCCAUGUCAUGUUUCCGGGGUGCCCUGUGCUUGUGCAACAUGGGCGCGUGGUGCGAACCAACGUGCGUGGCACCCUAGGCCUCAGUGGUAGUGGAGGGACCUGUGCUCAGUUAGAGGGUUACAAGGCCUCUAAGGGGCCACUACUGGCGGAAACCGGUGCACCCGGGGCUAACCUCCGGGCCGGACCAUCAAUCACCGCGCCGGCGCUCUACACUCGCUUCCCCAAGCCCUCGACCUGUAGGGUUGGAGGCUCCAAGCCGCCCGAGCGCUCUG
ensembl:antisense Igf2os insulin-like growth factor 2, opposite strand